GGGAGCAGAAGAACCACGAUCUGUGGAUAGCUAAGGCCUCCGUGGAAAUGGGAAUUCAGCAGACAACUCCUGAUGGCCCUGGGCUGCUGGUUCUUUUGAGUUACUUGUUGGGGAACAGAUUCCUGUCUUACCUCCACCCCACCGUGACACAAAAGAUUGAGGAAUCAUCCUGUCUUGAAGAAGAUUCUAGUGGCGAAACUGACACCAGAGGGCAGUAAUUGUUCCUGAGAUCUCACUGUGAGACAGGAGCUGCACCAAGCACUCUGCUCACAGGAAACACCUCGAAUCCUCAACGACCCCAUGGGAAAGGCGCUGUGACUAUUAUCUUCAAUUUGCAAAGGAAGAUGCAGAGACCUGGAGCUGUCAGCUCACUCGCCCAAGGUCACACAGCCACAGAGGCAGAGCUGAGGUGGAGAUGGAGGCGGUCAGACCCCGGAGCUCUGUUCUUGACCAUCACUUUAUAACGUUUCCCUGAGUUCCCCACAAGCACCCAGGGAUGGAUGUGAGUUCCCUGUGCAAUAAGAAGCUUUGCUCUGAAACAGAGAUAAGGAGAAAGGACAAAGAAAGUUCACUAAUAGGGGGCCUAAAAACACUUCCUAGGAGCUGGAAUGAGAAACCAAGAGAAGAUAGAAUUAGAGAUUAGCAGAGUGCUGACAUGUGAAAUCUUACCAUUAGGAGUGUUGCUGAAUGCAAGUUCGUGUGCCCAACACUCAGUGAGGCCAAGCAAUACUGAAACGUCGGAGUUUGGAGCAGAGAAAGGUUUACUGCAGGGCCACGCGAGGAGAAUGGGUGGUUUGUGCCCUCAAACCCCAACUCCCUAAAGGGUUUCAGCAAAGCAUUUCUAAAGGCCAGGUGAG